rnacentral:tRNA from 1 species
AGCUUAGUUGGUUAGAGCAUUGGUGCGUAAAGCCAAUGGUUCCGGGUUCGAUUCCCGG